GACGAACGCUGGCGGCGUGCUUAACACAUGCAAGUCACGGGGGUCCGCAAGGACAACCGGCGAACGGGUGCGUAACACGUGAGCAACCUGCCUUAGUGUGGGGGAUAGCCGGCCCAACGGCCGGGUAAUACCGCAUACGAUCGUGAAGAGGAGUCUCUUUACGAGGAAACCUCCGGGGCACUAAGAGGGGCUCGCGGCCUAUCAGCUAGUUGGCGGUGUAACGGACCACCAAGGCGACGACGGGUAGCNGGUCUGAGAGGAUGGCCAGCCACAUUGGGACUGAGAGACGGCCCAGACUCCUACGGGAGGCAGCAGUGGGGAAUCUUGCGCAAUGGCCGAAAGGCUGAACGCAGCGACGCCGCGUGUGGGAUGAAGCAUUUCGGUGUGUAAACCACUGUUGCCCGGGAACGAAACCGCCUUUUCGAGGGCGUUGACGGUACCGGGUGAGGAAGCACCGGCUAACUCCGUGCCAGCCGCCGC
rnacentral:rRNA from 1 species